rnacentral:rRNA from 1 species
UACGAAGGGGGCUAGCGUUGCUCGGAAUCACUGGGCGUAAAGCGUGCGUAGACGGUUGCGUAAGUCAGAUGUGAAAGCCCCGGGCUCAACCUGGGAAUUGCAUUUGAGACUGCGUAGCUAGGGUGCGGAAGAGGGAAGCGGAAUUUCCGGUGUAGCGGUGAAAUGCGUAGAUAUCGGAAGGAACAUCAGUGGCGAAAGCGGCUUCCUGGUCCAGCACCGACGUUCAGGCACGAAAGCGUGGGGAGCAAACAGG